rnacentral:rRNA from 1 species
GAGGGCAAGUCUGGUGCCAGCAGCCGCGGUAAUUCCAGCUCCAAUAGCGUAUAUUAAAGUUGUUGCAGUUAAAAAGCUCGUAGUUGAAUUUCGGGAUCAAUACGUCGGUCGUGCCUCUGGUAUGUACUGGUGUUAUUGGUUUCUCCUUUCUGAGGAGCCAUGAUGCCAUUAAUUUGGUGUCGUGGGGAAUCAGGACUGUUACUUUGAAAAAAUUAGAGUGUUUAAAGCAGGCACACGCUUGAAUACAUUAGCAUGGAAUAAUGAAGUAGGACGUUCGAUUCUAUUUUGUUGGUUUCUAGGAUCAACGUAAUGAUUAAUAGGGAUAGUUGGGGGCAUUAGUAUUCAAUUGUCAGAGGUGAAAUUCUUGGAUUUAUUGAAGACUAACUACUGCGAAAGCAUUUGCCAAGGAUGUUUUCAUUAAUCAAGAACGAAAGUUAGGGGAUCGAAGACGAUCAGAUACCGUCGUAGUCUUAACCAUAAACUAUGCCGACUAGGGAUCGGAUGAUGUUAAUUUUUUUAAUGACUCAUUCGGCGCCUUACGGGAAAC